GCCCCUAUCGUCUAGCCCGGCCUAGGACGUCAGCUUCUCAGGCUGAAGACCCGGGUUCAAAUCCCGGUGGGGGUACCA
rnacentral:tRNA from 1 species